CACUCCGUACGGAGGCAGCAGGAUGGGGAAUAUUGGCACAAUGGGCGCAAGCCUGAUGCAGCCAUGCCGCGUGUGUGAAGAAGGCCUUCGGGUUGUAAAGCACUUUCAGUCGUGAGGAAGGUAGUGUAGUUAAUAGCUGCAUUAUUUGACGUUAGCGACAGAAGAAGCACCGGCUAACUCCGUGCCAGCAGCCGCGGUAAUACGGAGGGUGCGAGCGUUAAUCGGAAUUACUGGGCGUAAAGCGCAUGCAGGUGGUUUGUUAAGUCAGAUGUGAAAG
rnacentral:rRNA from 1 species